GAUGGUGACGAGUCCGCCUACAGGUGGGAGGUUGACCACCUGGUGACCUGGUACAAUCAAAACAACCUUGAGCUCAAUGCUCUAAAGACAGUGGAGAUGGUUGUGGACUUCAGGAAGAACUCAGCCUCACCUGCACCUGCCCCCAUCACCCUCUGUGACUCCACAAUCGACACUGUGGAGUCUUUCCGCUUCCUGGGAACUAUCAUCUCCCAGGACCUCAAGUGAGGUCUGUUGUGCUCAUCAAGAAAGCACAACAGAGAAUGUACUUCCUGCGGCAGCUGAAGAAAUUCAACCUGACAAAGACAAUGAUGGUGCACUUCUACACAGCCAUCAUCGAGUCACAUCCCCCAUCACUAUCUGGUACGCUGCUACUACUGUCAAGGACAAGGGCAGACUGCAGCGUGUCAUCCGGUCUGCAGAGAAGGUGAUUGGCUGCAAUCUGCCGCCGCUCCAGGACCUGUACGCCUCCAGGACCCUGAAGCAUGCUGGAAAGAUUGUGGCGGAUCCUUCCCACCCCGGCCACAAUCUCUUUGAGACACUCCCCUCUGGCAGAAGGCUGAGGUCCAUCAGGACAAAAACCUCACGCCACAAGAACAUUUUCUUCCCAUUCGCCAAUUGCCUUAUCAACAAGGCCUGGUACCCACCCUGACACUCUCCACACUCCACCUCUGGCUCUACAUGCCACUGUACUUACUCUGCUGUACUGCUCUCUUUUAUUUUUAUUCUUAAUUUUAAUAUAUACUGUGUGGUCAUAUUUAUAUUGCUUAUAUUUUAAUACUUGUUUUUUAUAUUUAGAGAAUGUGUGACACGCGCAUACAACACCAAAACUAAUUCCUUGUAUGCGUAAAAAACAUACUUGGCAAUAAAGCUUUUUCUGUUUCUGAUCCUGAUUAAAGGGUUAAACUUAUUCCGCGCCGAGUCACGUGACACAACAGCUUGCCGUCGAUUUACUUGAAGUGCUCCUACGGACAGAGCCAACAAAAGUGCCUCUGUGAGCUGAUAAACAGGAUGUCAACAUAUGUGGAAUCUGGCACCGCAUUUCCUCAGAAGUAGAAAAAACAGAAUAUUCCCCAAACCCCACUUCUUUGGCUUUGUCUCUGGGGCUCCAAUUCACAAUCCUUGCCUACAGUAAGUUUGAAAGGACUUUAUGAUUAUUUCUUCUAGGAAGUACUAUAGCUGCCAACUUGUAAAUGUAUAAUAACUAUUUCAUAAAAUUGAUUAAGCAUUCCUUAUGUCAUUUAUUAGUUACAGUAUACUACUGACACCAUGUAAGUUAUUGUCUGGAACUUUGCUGGUAAGGAAAUGUAGAGGCCGGACCUCUUGAAACUUUAAUUAAAUACCCCUGGACUAGGGGUUCACAUACUUUUUCCAACCUACAUUGUGAAUGCUUAAAUUAUGUAUUCAAUAUGUACAUUUAACAUUACAAUAGUGUGUGUGUUAUUAGUUAAAACAGAUAUGUUCAUUAUUGUAGCUUAGAUGAAGCACUAACCAGAUUUUAAGACACAUUUAUACAUAAAUGCAGGUAACUUCAAAUGAUUCAAAUUUUUUCUCACCACUGUUUGUCCAAAAUAUCUUUUGUUUGUGUUCCACAGCAAAAAUACAGUAAUAAGAGUUAGCAUGAGGUUGAGUAAAUGAGAGAAUUAUAAUUUUUAGGUAUACUAUCCCUUUAAGCUUUGAAGCAAGGCACCAUCCACUGCCAUUGUAUUGAAAAGACAACCUGAAAUAUGACACAAUUUUCAAAAUUAUUUUUAAAUCAGUAAUGUCAAACUAAUUAAUUUUGUCACAUUCUAGAAGUCUGCAUCUCCAUCUUGGAAAAAUUGUCAAAACUACCCCACAACUAGUACAUCUUUAUCAACCAAUCAAAACAUUGUUCCUUGUUGCCACGGUACCUCAGACUUGCUCCACAUUAAGCUGAGCUAUACAUGGCCCAGAAAUAUGAUUCUCUACAAGAACAAUAAACACAAGUACACACACACACACACAAAUGCACAAACGAGUCAUUUGCAUCUGCUGUUGGCUUGUCUUGCAAUCUUUAUCAUGACUAUCCAUAUGUAGCUGCAUGAAUAUUAAAUAACAUAAUCCUCACUGCCUGACUACCUCUGCUCUCAAACACACCCACACUAACUUAAUUCUUCUCCACAUUUGAACACUUUAAAAAGGAAAGGGACACUAAUCUUACACAAUAAACCUUUAAUAUGAGGCAUCAACCUGAAAAGGAGGUUAAUGGUUUGAUAACACACUUUUAGGGGAGGGUGAGUUGGUGUCUUGGAUAAGAAAUACAGAAAUAUUUUCUUUCAUGUUUUUUCAGAAUAUUUAGUCAGUGUAUAUUUUGGACUGACAGGAGGGUAACAGAAGAUGAACAAGAUUUAACAUAGCAAAUAAAGCAAACAAAAUGGACAAACUUAAAUUAAAUCAGUUUUUUUUUAAAAGCUUCAGGGACAGCAUCUGUCACAUGCUGUUGAUUUUCCACAUAAAAUGAUUUAGACUUUAGUUGGUAAAAACAAUUGUAAGUGCCUUCCUUUUGUUUUGCUUUGACAAGUCAACAUUUUUUGUAACUUGUAUUUGACCUGGAAUAUAACUUAAAAAAAAAAAUAAUAAUGUUUCUUUGUACUCCCGUUUGUGUUUUAGUCUAUAAAAGUUGGUGUGUUUUUGUAUUG